GGUUAAGCGACUAAGCGUACACGGUGGAUGCCCUGGCAGUCAGAGGCGAUGAAGGACGUGCUAAUCUGCGAAAAGCGCCGGCGAGGUGAUAUGAACCUUUGACCCGGCGAUGUCCGAAUGGGGAAACCCAGUGCAAUCCGUUGCACUAUCGUUAACUGAAUACAUAGGUUAACGAGGCGAACCGGGGGAACUGAAACAUCU
rnacentral:rRNA from 1 species